rnacentral:rRNA from 1 species
UACGUAGGGGGCAAGCGUUGUCCGGAAUCAUUGGGCGUAAAGAGCGUGUAGGCGGCCCGGUAAGUCCGCUGUGAAAGUCCAGGGCUCAACCCUGGGAUGCCGGUGGAUACUGUCGGGCUCGAGUCCGGAAGAGGAGUGUGGAAUUCCGGGUGUAGCGGUGGAAUGCGUAGAGAUCCGGAAGAACACCAGUGGCGAAGGCGGUCUGCUGGGCAGUGGACUCGAGAGAGUCCUUCAACCGACACUGAGGCGCGACAGCGUGGGGAG